GGUUGUCAUUUCCAACUCUCGUCAAAGGAGCAAUUUGAGAUGAAAGAAUACUUGUAUGUGGCAUAUACUGGUUUAUGGUACCUUUUACAUGGGCCAAAGAAGGUAAGGAAUUUAGCAGAGAAUUUGACUGGGGUUUCCAAUAUGCAGCAGCAAUUGACUUGAGGUGCUGCUUGUGGCCAAAUGCAAACCGUGCUAGAGCUACAGCAACCUCUGCCCUAACAAGUGGGCUUCCAUCUGAAACAACACUUAGUAGGCUUCUAACAAUACUGAUUUCAGCUCUAAAUUUAUCGUCAUCAUCGCAUUCAUCAUCACCUGCAACACCAUCUCUGCAUGCAUCACCUCCAACACCAUCUCUGCAUGCAUCACCUCCAACAUCAAGCAAAGUACCUAAUGCGAAGACAGCAGAAGCCCUAACCUCAGGCUGGGGCUCAGAGAGUAAAGGAACAUAUAUAGCUGGCGCAUCUGCCUGCAAGCCUAUAAUUUGAGCCUCUGUGAAAUCCUCCCACAACUUUCCCAGACAAAGGCAAAGCCACUGAAGAAAUAAAGGCUCAUUUUGACCAUCAUUUGGCAUUGAACACUGAAGGUGUUUCAAGCACACUUGGACUACACCAGCUUCAAUACAAGCUUCUUGACCCCUUCUGUGCCCAUCAACAAUAACAGCCAAAACAAAUGCAGCCAUUGCUCGCUGUUCUGGAUAUGCUUCCAUGCUAUCAAGAAACCUGAUAAAAUAUGCAUGUCCACCAUCCUUAACAAGAUCAACCUGGCACGACUUAUCAAGUGCCAAAAUUUUUGUCCAUAUGAAGACAAGAAUUUGCCUUAGUUCUGGCGUCGUUGUUUGCAACAGCUUCAAAACGUAUGGAAAUAUUCCAACAGACAAGGCCAGGUCUACAGCCCAGGAUCCCAUAUCAAGGAAUCUCCCAAGAAGCACCAAUGCUUUAAACCGAUGGCAUUGACUAAGUAGAACCUGAAGAACAAUAGGCAACUGCUCUGGCGGCUUCUUUUCUUCAGACCCAUGAUCCAACCAAAUCUCAAAAGCCAUUAGCUGUUCUGUGAAAAAAGGACUUGGCUGGAACUCUGCAU
rnacentral:misc_RNA from 1 species